GUAAAGCUUUGUGACUGGACCCUUAAGUGCGAUAGGUGCGUCCUUUCUAUUAGCACUUGUUUUUAGGAUAUAUAGUUAGCCAGUGUUUAUAGUUCACAUUAUUGAUCAUAUGUAGCGUAGUUGACUAAGAAUUUAAUGAUUAGUACUCAAGAUUUGAAGUUCGAAACUUAAUUGCUGUUCAUUUUUAACUGAAUUCAUUUCUAAAAAAUUGAACAAAGACAAAGAGGGUAGCUCAAUUGCCACCUUUCUUCUUAAGCCAAUGAAAUCUUUAAUUUAAAUGACUAAGAUAACUCAAACUACAAUAGGCAAAACUUUAGGAUCUUAUACUUUCUUUUUUUUUCUUUUUAUUUUUUUGAGAGAAAGGUAGCAUGCUACCCGCUUCGUUUAUUUCAUUUAGAAAUAAACUUAGCUGGAAAUGUGAAUCCACUAGAAUUCGAACUUGGGUCUCGGAUACCAACCACCAAGUUCUUUGCCACUUGCACUAGGGACAUACUAUCCAAAUAUAAUCAAUCAGAUAGAACACGAUUU
rnacentral:lncRNA from 1 species